rnacentral:misc_RNA from 1 species
CUAUGCUCGGAGGUAUUCGAAUCUCCGGUCGGAUUUUGUUGCUUGUGCCUCGUACCUCAGUGUCGGCAUCAGCAUUGUCCCAAAGAACGGCCAGUUGUCCCAGUUUUCGUGUCUCGGUGCUCAUGUGUCCCUGUCACGGGGCUGGCUUGGAAACAUCGAUAGCGCUCGCUCAUCKACUACUAACGUUGUCGCGGGCGUGGCGUGAUCGAUGUUCGAUCUCUCGUGCGCGGAAUGCCCAUCGGCGCGGUGGUUCACCGAACCCCGCUAAAUAGACCCUCGAUGAAAAGUCGUCCGAUGCAAUCUUGAGCGACCAUCGURCCUGCGAAUGUGUUUGCCGCCGAGAAGGCGCAGCGCAUGCAGUGCCGAUGUCGUACGGGAACGCUACCUGGUUGAUCCUGCCAGUAGUCAUAUGCUUGUCUCAAAGAUUAAGCCA